AUUGAACGCUGGCGGCAUGCCUUACACAUGCAAGUCGAACGGUAACAGGUCUUCGGAUGCUGACGAGUGGCGAACGGGUGAGUAAUACAUCGGAACGUGCCCAGACGUGGGGGAUAACGAGGCGAAAGCUUUGCUAAUACCGCAUACGAUCUAAGGAUGAAAGCCGGGGACCGCAAGGCCUUGUGCGUUUGGAGCGGCCGAUGGCAGAUUAGGUAGUUGGUGGGAUAAAAGCUUACCAAGCCGACGAUCUGUAGCUGGUCUGAGAGGACGACCAGCCACACUGGGACUGAGACACGGCCCAGACUCCUACGGGAGGCAGCAGUGGGAAAUUUUGGACAAUGGGCGAAAGCCUGAUCCAGCAAUGCCGCGUGCAGGAUGAAGGCCUUCGGGUUGUAAACUGCUUUUGUACGGAACGAAAAGGCUCUGGCUAAUACCUGGGGCACAUGACGGUACCGUAAGAAUAAGCACCGGCUAACUACGUG
rnacentral:rRNA from 1 species